UGCAGUCGACGAUGAGCUCUAGCUUGCUAGAGUCGAUUAGUGGCGCACGGGUGAGGAAUAUAUAGCUAAUGUGCCCCUUAGAGGGGGAUAACAGUUGGAAACGACUGCUAAUACCCCAUACUCCUUCUUACCACAAGGUAAGUCGGGAAAGUUUUUUCGCUAAGGGAUCGGGCUAUACGGUAUCAGCUUGUUGGUGAGGUAAUGGCUCACCAAGGCUAUGACGCCUAUCUGGUCUGAGAGGAUGAUCAGACACACUGGAACUGAGACACGGUCCAGACUCCUACGGGAGGCAGCAGUGGGGAAUAUUACACAAUGGAGGAAACUCUGAUGUAGCAACGCCGCGUGGAGGAUGACACACUUCGGUGCGUAAACUCCUUUUAUAUGGGAAGAUAAUGACGGUACCAUAUGAAUAAGCACCGGCUAACUCCGUGCCAGCAGCCGCGGUAAUACGGAGGGUGCAAGCGUUACUCGGAAUCACUGGGCGUAAAGCGCGCGCAGGCGGCUCAUUAAGUUGGAUGUGAAAUCCUAUGGCUCAACCAUAGAACUGCAUCCCAAACUGAUGAGCUAGAGUCCGGGGAGGGGAAGAUGGAA
rnacentral:rRNA from 1 species